GCGCUGUUGGCGGACGGCCCUGGGCACGUGCUCCCGGCAGGCUCUGCGCGGCUGCGCACCUUCCACUGGAGAGAGGAUCCCUGGCCCGAGGUGGGCGCCCGAGGCGGCGUUUGAGGGCCCACGAUACACACAUAUGCAAGAUAACCUAAGGUCGCGAAGGAGCCAAGCGACGCUUGCCCGGUUCUCCAGCAGCGAGCGGUCGUGCGUGUGUGCCAGGCUUCCUCCUCCUGGCUCCCCAGCCCGCAGGACAAAGGCUGCGGUGUCGGCCACGCCACUUAGGGAGGCAGCAGUGGCCACGCAACCGGAGAUCCCAGCAGUAGAAAGCGUGGGCAGUGGUCACCUCGCUAGACCCGGGUGGUCAGCACAGGAGAGUCGAGCUGGGUCCUUGGGAACACCCCAGAACAUGAUGCUGGUCAGCAUGGUGCAGAGGAGCAUGGAGAAGCAGCAGGACACCCUCUGGACGCGGGUAAAGUUGCUCCGAGCUGAGCAGCCGAAGACAGAAUACCAGAUGUGUCCAUCCUGGAAGCCUGUGGAGGUCUUCAUGAGAAACAGUGCCCCUUCCCUAAAGAUGAAAGAAUCAGGUGAACAGCAUUUGCUUGAAAAGAAGAAAGUACCUAAAUUGUUUCCUGUCCUGCUCUGUGGCCACCGGAAAUUCUUUGUCGAGGACGCAGUCUCCGACAUCAAUGGACAGCCACGAGUUGCAGAGGAAAUACCACUUCCGGUUUGUUGCCAGGUCAUGCACCAGCACCCGGCUCACGUACCUGCAGAAGGGACCCGCGCUUUUGAGGACAAGGUUGGGAGGUGAGGCUUCUUUGCAUACCACGAAGGUAACACCUUUACAAACCUGAGCCCAAGAACAAGAGCUCCUGAAAAGAGAAACUGUAUUUUUCUUCAUUGUCCUUGGCGCCUUGGCCAAAAUGCCCCGAUCAGCGGGUGAAUUUGGCCUCACGUGGGGAGCUCACGGAGAUGCUGUUGUAAGAGGGUCCCUUCUGAAACUAUUUACCCUAGUGCAGGGCAGCAGGCCCAGGGCCAGCAUCCAGAUGCAAGUGAGGAAAGCCACGUUGUCUAAAUUGUGUGCGUUCAGGGAGGUGCAGACUCGGGUGCACAAAACCUCGUCUUCCUGCCGGCUUCCACCCAGAGAACGAGCCGUCUAUUUUGGACUCAGGACUUCAUGGAUAUCAAUCAUCUAACCUGAUUUAGGUCUUUGAGGCCCACGUAAGGAAUGAGAUCAUCUCGCCUCUGCUGGGAUGGGAGAUGCCGGAGCAGCCAUUUCCCCUGUGGCCUUAUGGCCAGUAAGAAUAGUGAUAGGUAUCAACAGCCACUCUCUGCUGAGCAUUUACUGCGUAAUGCGGACUAUGCUCGGAGGCUCUGGACGCGCGUCUUCUCACUUCCAGGAGGACAGCCGUGUCAGGCAUGCAAGAGCCUCCUCUGUUGAGGUCACACAGCCUCCGGGGGAGGCCAACAUCCAGUGACUGAUGGGUGCGGUGCCUGGCUGUGGUCAAGACCUGGGCAUCUCAGCCCGACUCGGAACACUCCAGAGCUCCCCGUGGGGGUCAGCCACACUGUUGUGCUGCAUCAGAGCUCUGCCCCCUCUGCUCCUCCUGCUUCCUUCUCUCCCUGCCCAGGGGCUGGUCCCAGGCGCCCUGCAUAUUCAACUCUAUCUCCGAGUCCAAUGUACAGCCCUUGAAGUAGUAAUGUGUAAUCCCUUAGGUAAAUUAAAGACAGCAAUGUAAGUGCUGUGUUUUUCUAAAGUUGCAAGCCUCUGAUGGGGGGUCAGGCUGGAAAUGACUCAUCUAGGUGACUAGUUUUGGCCUCACACAGAAGGGGCAGAUUCUUGGCUCUGAACUUGCCAGCUGUGUGACCUUGGGCAAGUCACUUACCUUCCCUGGGCUUGGACUUUCCCACCUGCAAAACAAGGAUGAGGGUACUUGUCCCUGAAUGAGAGUACUUGGUCACUGUUGAGGAGCCAGUGAAAAAAGGCACAGAAACAGGAAGGCUUAGUCUAGUGCUUAGCAGGGGCGGCUGUUCCUGCCUCUUCCACUAAAGAAUCAGCCCAGUGUCUCAUUAGUCCCCUCUUAUUGGGCAAGGUUUGUCUUCACAGCGGGUACCUAUCCCCAUUUUACAGAUGGGGAGCUAGGGGCUCAAUGACAGGUUGAUGCUGCAAUGUGCCAAGGGUGAGCUAACACUGGACGCCAGGGUUGCAACUUCCAGUCCUUGUAGCUACUGAUCCCAUCUGUGUGGCUCAUGGAUGGGUGGGCCUCUCCAGCCCUCACUGUCCUUAUCGGUGAAGUAGGGAUCCAUUCUAUGUGUUUACGGAGGCUUGUGUGGAUCAGCCAGGUGGCACGUGCACAGCCCUGGGCUGGCACUUAGGGGGUUCUCGUGGUGUGCCGCCCCCCCCCCCCCCGCCCCGUGACUUACCAGGAUGGACAGUCCCCUGAGUUGUCAUGCCACAGCCGCAGACUCCUCAGCUCCCCCAGGGGGAACAGGGUGGAAAGUAAGAAGACAUCUACUCCUCCUCGCUCAAAAACUGGGAUGUCAGGAUCUGACAGGUGGUGGGGUUCACUCUCUCCAUCCAGGCCAUAUAGGGUGAUAGUCACCUGAAAUCCAGAGACUAGGAGAGGCCGACUCCCCCUGGUAACCAGGCCCUGCUGGCCGUGUUUCCUUGGAAGUGUCCAAAAACCAGUGAAAACCAACAUAGCACGGCCCCUUCAUUCUCUCUUCUCCUCCCAUCUUGGGCCUACUGAAUUAUUUUUCAGGUGUAUGAAGAUUUGGGGUCACACUGUCUGCAUUUAUGUAUUCAGUGUGAGUUAUAAAACGCUUCCUGGUAACUUUUUAAAACUUCCCAUGUACUUAUUUGUAAGGGCUUUAGGGUAGGGACUGAUUUCUCCCCCUAACAGUUAUAUUCCCAGUGUCUCCCAGAGUACCUGGCCCUGAGACAAUGCAUGAGUGCCCAUUGUCUUGAAAAUGCAUAUUCCUAGGCCCCCCUCCAGACCACUCAACUGAAAAUCCUGGGGCCAGGGCCCAGGAAUCUCUUUUUCUGCAGCUGUCCAGGUGAUACUGAUGGCUGAUUUCCUGAGCAGAAACAGCCACCAUACCGCCAUCUGUGUUCUGCCCACGUCUGUCAGCCUCACCACUGCAGCAUCCCUGCACCCACGUCCAACUGCCAGCAGCUGUCUCUUUCCUGGGGUCUCUUGGGCUGUUAGAACAGAGACUGGAAGUGCCAGAGGAUUAAUGGCAAUACAUGCUGUUCUCUACCAGUGACUGAUGGGAUUCGUGGGUAAGUGACCCAGUUCCCCCAGCCAUCAGUGGGGUGACUUUGAGGCCCAUGUUGCUUACCAUUUUGCCAAGUUCCAUAGUGGGUUUAGGCUCCAGCUGCCCAGAGAGGUAACGGAUUUGAUAAUGCACCCCUUAUCAGUCCUUUCUCUUCCCUUUCAGCUUCCCAGUCCCCUACUGGGGUGUCCUAGGGUCCCACUCUCAAGGCAACUACUUAUGCUUCCACAGCAGGGUUCAUCCACUAUAGACAUCCUGGGCCGGAUGAUUCCUUGCUCUGGGGGCUUUCCUGUGCAUUGUAGGAUGUUUAACAGCAUCCCUGGCCUCUACUAACCAUCCAAACUAAGACAAUAUCAAACGGACAUGUGGCCCAACUCUCCAGAAAGAGAAAUGGCCUGUGGAUCAUAGGUUUUCACAUCUUUCCUAUAAGGUAGUCUCUUUAGUGUCAAACAGAAAUAAGAUGAAUGUUUCAUUUGAUGGAUGAAAUUAAUUCCUAUGUUUAUUCAGUGAACAGUUACCGAGCUCUUACUCUAUGUUAGCCACCUGGUUGAGGACCUAAGACACAGCAAUAAAUAAAAAUAAAACAGAUGCAUACAUAAAUGAAAAUAAGAUUUAAAAAGUAACAGACAAAUGCCCCGCUGUAAUGAAGCUCGAUAUCAUUUUUGAAAAAACGAUGGAGCUUCCUCUGAGAUAGUAGACACAGUGCCAGUGGUUCUCAAAGUGUGUUCCAUUGAGCCCUCAGUUUGAGUAAAGGAACCUUGGAGGCUGCUGUCAAGAUAGUGUAUCGAGAUGGGGCACAUUGCACAGGCCAGACUUAACUCAGGAUGCCGAAGCAUUGCAGGGACAACCUGCUGUAUGCUCCACAGCCAAAUGUUCACGAACCUCAGAGAAUUGAUAAAUCACCACCAGCACGUAGGCCACGCAGAGGCAGCCCACGGUAGUCACAACCACGGGGUUAUCUUCAAAGGUGGCAAAGAGCUCGGUGGUCUGGCGGACGUCGAUGGCAUUGGGCAUCACCAGGAACGUGCUUCCAAAGAAGACGGGAAAGCUGAGAGAGGUGCGGCAACCUGCCCAAAGUCACCUGCCCAGUCCUGAUGAAGUGGGAUUGGACCCAAGUCCGUCCAACAGCAGAGCCCACGCCCCCAUCGGCUACACCAUCCCUCUUUCUGAGCCUCGGGCCUCUGAGGACAGCCUGCCGGGCACUCCAGGCCAGCAGCAUGGGCAUCAAACAGCUGCCGGGAGUGAGGACUCGGGGAAGGUCUCAGCACACCCAGGGCCUUGUUCACGAGGUUUACAAAGAAAUUCAAGAGGUAAACCAAGUUACAAAAAGGAGGAGGAAGAAGAAGAGGGCAGGAGGCGAUCUUAAAAAUUAUCUCAAGACAUCGAAGCUCACUCAACAGUCACUUCCUGUACAAAGGCCUUCCCAGCUCCCAGAGGGAGACAGGCCCCUGUUCUGGGAGAAACGGAGCCUAGCAGCUCAGGGGAGAGCACAGCCCUGGGCCAGUACCUGACUCCAGACAGAAGCAGUACUCCAGGGGGCCCAGGGCCGAGGAUGUGUCGCAGAAGAUGGCGAAGCUUGUCAGAACGGUACCCUCCUCCGGAGUGAUGGUGCAGCCUGCUCUCCAUCAACUCCGUGGCCCUGGGCACUAGGAAGCUAAUCUCUGUGGACUGUGUCACCCACAUUCCUGUGCCGGCUGGCUUCUGCUUGGGUCCAGCAAUGGGAGGGAUUGGCUGGGGAUCAGAAGGGUGCAAGGAUGCCACUGCAGAAGGAUGCUUCUGGGGAAAUGAGCCGCCCUUCACCCUGACCCUGAGCAGACCUGCAGGGUCUGUCUGCUUCUUCGGCACCAGCGACCUGCACUGAGGACAGGCAGGCAUAUAGUAGGGGAGGGGGGCGGGGAUAUACAGCUCUGCCUGGGGGAGCAUCCAGGACAGCUUCCUGUCCCUGGUGUACCUCUCAUACCACGUGGAAACAACUGUCCUAAACUGUAUGUCCCUGUGGGUACACUAGGCAUCCGGCGGGCCGUUCUCCCCAUCUGGGAGGACACACGCCAUCUCCUGCUUUAUGAUACUGGCUCAGUAAGUCUCUAUCCCUCGCCCUUCAUCUGUGUUGAUCGAUGUUUACCCAUCAGUCACCUUGCUCCCCCUGCCCCGAAGUUCGGUAGUCAUUCACGGGAUGUGACCUAGGGUCAGGCCAUCAGCUCAACCACCCAAACUGUUUACCUGUAUCCUCUGUGAAUUCAGAUAGUGAAAACUAAUAUUCCUAAGAAUGUCCUGAGCACCUACCAGUGGAUAUCAAAAGGCUCUACAUUUUAUAUGACUUGACCCAGUUACUCCAUUUCUUGAAAUUUAUUUUUUAUUCUCAAAACUUACUUCUGAAGGUAACCACAGACGCAGAUAAAGGCAGAACUACAAGGAUGUUCAUUACAAUGUUGUUUAUAUACGGGCAAAUAAUUCCGAAUAACCUACGUGUCCAAAAACAGGGUACCAGUAAAUAAGUGACCAUACAUCAACUUUGACAGUCUAUUAUGCACUUACUCUCUUAUGAAAUCAAGAUAGAGAAGAUACCAUGGCAUUAAAAUAUGGAGGAUGUAUUGUUCAAAGAAAAAAAAGCUCAUAAAAAUAGUAAGUGUGAUAUGGAUGGCAUUCAUUUCCAAAAGAAUGUGUACGUAGCUAGGAUGUAUCCCUAUAAAGCAGGACAACCAUUUCUAAGAAGUGGGUACUGGCGCUGUCCUCGUGGUUUGUCAGAAAAUGCCUCCUCGCUUCUAGACUCUCCCAGUGACAUACCCAGCAAGGGCAAGGAGGUGACAGGAGGGAUCCACCCAAAAGGGAGGAGUUGUUUUGUUUUGUUUUGCUUUGUUUUUAGCACUGAUGUUGUUUGUGGGGAAAAUAAAGCCUAUUGACUUUUAGGGUUAAUUCUCUCAAUGCAUCUCUGUGUUGCUGCCUUUAGGGCUCCCUCUGCCUUGGUUUGCCACUGCUUUCCCCCAACCCCACCCCACAGCCCCCACCCCACACCCACCACCUCCCAUUUCCAUGGGAUUUUCAAUCUCUGGCACAUGCAAAGCACACAGAAUGUCAAGGAUAAGUAAUGCCUGUGUGAAGAUUUAAAAAAAAAAAAAAAAAAGCAAAGCUGACCUCUAUCCAUUACUUUGUGGUGAGAUAGGACAGUUCCAGAGCUCUAAGGCCACCUACCGCAUGACCACUGGAAACGUAAAUCCUUGUCCCUGUCUGGCCAGCCCAGAGUCACGGUUGUGAAAGGAUCCACAUACUGGCCAGGCUCCGCGUACACCUGCCUGUCCCCUUUCUCUCUCUGCAGAAAAAGCAACCGGCUGGUGAGAUGCCCCUCCACAAUUGGUACCCUACCUUCUUCCCCACAGCAGUCUGUGCCAAGGGUAGUCGCAGCAUAGGGCACAGAAUGGAGACAGACCCUAUCUGAUCCACCUGGCUCUCCUCUGGAGAUGGGUCACUGGACGGUUCUCGCACACUGGAAGGAGCUGUGAACACAAUGAGAACAGGCGUCAGACUUUGACUCACCUCCAUCAAGUACCACCUGAAUCCACAGAGGUUCCCCGAAGACAGUGCGGCAGAGAGGGCUGGCUCCCAACGUCGACAGGCCGGAGCACCCAGUCACGCUGAGCCUUCCCGUCUUGUCUUGGAUUGUCACGUGCUUCUGAGCCAUCACAUGCCACUCACUGGUUGUGCACUCGGCAAACACAAUAAAUUCCCCAGGGGCUGUGAACUGGUGGGUCACGGUCAUGGAACUGCACAAUGAAUGAAGAAAACAAAAACCCCAAGAGAAAUCCCCUCUGUUUAGCCAAGAGAACCAGGAAAAGAGACCCAAUUGGAUUCUCCAUUAGCUCAUGUUGUUUGUCUGCAGUAGAGAUGAAGUGGCCCAUUUAGGCCUUAGCUUAUCAUGACUUAAGCAAAAGUAGCAUGCCGUACAAACACAUAAAAGCACAGCGACAUUCACGCAAGAAAACAUUCCCACAUCCAUGCGAGCAUCUUUUUCACAUCAUUACCAACUCCUUGGACAGUGACCCAGGAGAGAUUCUACACAGAAGGAAGCCAUAAGGACCCAGCUCUUCAAGACUGUUCACGUGGCCUCCGUAGUGAGAAAACCUGUGCAUGCCAUUUCUGUCCGAGGUCCGCGCAGCAUCCUGGAUGCAGUAAUGGGGAGUUUGGCGCCCGUAGAAGGCAUCCUGGAUCUGGAUGACUUCCCCUGAGCCACAGUGCAUGGUGGCAUUGAGGCCGUCACAGGCCAGACUCUGGCCAACGCCUGUGACAAAGGGAAGGCGACACUUAGGGAGAAAUCAUGGUCACGGUUGGGCAAGUGCCUGGCUGACGGGGAGGGGAAGGGUGUCGGAGGUGAGGGCUGAGGUGGAGGGACCCGGCAGGAGUGAGAAAUAGACGGGGGCGGGCGUGGGAGUGGCUCUGGAGCCAGACUGCCUGGGCUCAGAUGCCACCAGCCACACACUGGCUGUGUGCUCUGCAAAUGCCUUAGCUUCUCUGCGCCCCUCAGCACAGGGGAGUGUCCGUACUGCACCCCCACAGGGUCUUUAAGAGGAUUACAUGAGUUCAUACAUGCAGAGUAAGAGCUGUAAGUGGCAACUUGAGUCUUUUCUGAAACCAAUGCCUGGUUCGUCACAGAUGCUAAACAAGCACCUGUUGAAUGAAUGAGUGACUUGGGUGCAUCUUCCUACCAAUCCUAGAAGCUGGGCGACUGUCCUCCCCGGUAGGAACAUCAGGCUCAGGGGGGCCGCUGUGCCGAGACACCCUCCCCCACCCCACCGCCUCCAGCCCGGCUUCUGGCAUGUGGUCUACAUUCAGUGAACAUUUGUUGGAAAACAAUGACUUGGCUCAGGUGAGCACAGCCAGAAAGGAAACUCUGGAUCCAAACUCCGGCCCAUCUGCCUGGUGGGAACACCACAGGGUAGAGGAUGAGACCCAAAAUCUGUGUUAGUUUCCUACAGCUGCUCUCUGUACAAAUUACCACCAAAUUCAUGGCUGAAAACAGUGCAAAUCUAUCAUCCUCUAGUUAUAAAGGUCACAAGUCCAAAGUGGGUCUUCCUGGGCUAGUAUCAAGGUGUGGACUUCAUUCCUUCUGGCGCCUCCAGGGGACAGUCUGCUCCCGAGCCUUUUCCAGAGGAGCUACAGUUGUUGGACUGUGACCCCUUCUUCCAUUUCCAAAGCCGGCAGCAGCCAGCAUCUGCCAGUCUCUCUCUGACCACAGGCAAACCUGGGUUCAGGUCUUACCAUGGUCACUUCCCAGCUGUGUGGUCUUGGGCAAGGAGCUUACCCUUUCUGAGCCCCACUGUUCUUAGCUUUAUCACAGGCCUCGCCUCAAACAGCAGAGGCGCUUCUAUUAUGAAUAAACGCACGCGAGUCUGUUCUUGGAAGUGCUGCUUGGUGCGUGUUGGCUGUUCAUGAUGUGACCUUGUACCAGUGGCUCCAAGGCCCCGGGGCUGACAGAUUCUGAGACAGGCUCUUGAGUUGGGGUGCACAAGGGGGCGAGGCACUGGGGAGCUGUGAUAAAAAGAGAGGGAAGUUGUAUGACCCAUAGGUCCCCAAAGCUCCAAGUUUCCAAAAUCGGCCAGGCUGGAGAAGUGAACCCUACAUGGUACCUGUUUAAAACCAGACGGGGGAAAUGAGGCAGGGGGACUGUAAGUGCCCAAAUCCAGAAUGGGCCCCAGGAGCUGGGGUUCUUCACUGAGGGGCUUGGGGAUACGGAAGGGGCUGAGCCCAGGAAGCCUGGAAGCUUCCCUUAAGCCUGGCUUGAAAGUCAGGGGAACAUGGGGUAGCUCAGUUCCAAGACCAGGCCCCUAUGCCAGGGUCCCUGCAUGGCAAGCAGGACCCAUCGUGGGGCCAUGGGUCACUCAUGCCGGGGCUCUUACACGGAGUCCCCAGGGAGGAGUUCCCAGGGCACAAAGGGGGUCAACCAUGGACAGCAGCUGGAAAGGACACAAGAACGGAGUGCGGGGACGUUCAGGAGUCAGGGAGGGUGAGCCCCGGAGGCUCAGACCCGGCCGGCCAGGGCGGUAGGCGUCAAGGGUGAGUGAGACCAACCUCCUGGGACCAUGUCUCCUUUUAGGAAGACUGGAAAGGAGAGUAAGUAGGGCUGGGUAUUUGCCCCCAGAUGCAGGUGUCUGAGAGGAAAAGAGGGAUGCAGGGGAGGCUGGUAGGUAAGUGGACAGGGAGUCGGGGUUGUGAGCUGGGGAGAUGAAAUAAACACAGACACAGAGACUGGUGGGCAUUUAAGGAGACGUGGAGACAGAGAGACCCAGGGACACCUGGAAAGAGAGAGAAACAGAGACACAUGGAGCGGCACAAACACAGACACAGAGACAGGCGGGCAUUUAAGGAGACGUGGAGACAGAGAGAGAGACCCAGGGACACCUGGAAAGAGAUAGAAGCAGAGACACAUAGAGGGGCACAGAGAGACAGAAGGAGGGAGACCCCACAACAGAGGCCGGCUCACCAAACUCGCAGAUGAAGGCAGACGGCUGCGUGCAGUUGUCUGAGGCCACCCACCCAAAGGAAGCGUCUCUCCCGAUGUAACCACAGGCGUCGGGGGCAGGAGAGGCCUGCCCUCCGCGCCAGUGGCUGUAGCUCACGUUUGAGGUGUCCAGCCAGGUCCCCAGCCCUGGGAUGGGAACACAAGCACCAGGACUUACAGACGCUCCUCCGGCCCUUUUUAUGCACAGGGCUUGCCUCAGCUCAGCUCCUGGUGCUACAGGAGGUGCCUGGUUAAGACCGACAGGCUGACGGCCUCUCUUUCCCGUGCCAACGAAGGGGCGUUGCUAGCUGUUACCUUUCAACACCCAGACGUAAGAAUUCAACCUAGAAACCGGGGCGCCAAGUCAGGGAGCCCAGACAAAAUAGUUUCACUAAGGACAUGAUGCUUGUAGCUCUGUCUUACCAUAACCUAGAAAAGAACACAGAAGUGUGCCUCGGGACAUUUGAAGGUGUUCCUUAGAGCAGCAGGGGCCCUUGUCAAACAUAUUUGGGCACACUCACUUAAAAUGGAAAUUUUCCUUAUGUCCAGAACUCCUCAGCCCCAUG